UCGGCCUUAGUGGCGCACGGGUGCGUAACGCGUGGGAAUCUGCCCUUGGGUUUGGAAUAACAGUUGGAAACGACUGCUAAUACCGGAUAUUGUCUCAAGACCAAAGAUUUAUUGCCCAAGGAUGAGCCCGCGUCGGAUUAGCUAGUUGGUGGGGUAAAGGCUCACCAAGGCGACGAUCCUUAGCUGGUCUGAGAGGAUGAUCAGCCACACUGGGACUGAGACACGGCCCAGACUCCUACGGGAGGCAGCAGUGGGGAAUAUUGGACAAUGGGCGAAAGCCUGAUCCAGCAAUGCCGCGCGAGUGAUGAAGGCCUUAAGGUUGUAAAGCUCUUUUACCCGGGAAGAUAAUGACAGUACCGGAAGAAUAAGCUCCGGCUAACUCCGUGCCAGCAGCCGCGGUAAU
rnacentral:rRNA from 1 species